AACGAACGUUAGCGGCGCGCCUAACACAUGCAAGUCGCACGAGAAAGGGCUUCGGCCCCGGUAAAGUGGCGCACGGGUGAGUAACACGUGGGUAACCUGCCCUCGAGCGGGGGAUAACAUUCCGAAAGGAGUGCUAAUACCGCAUAAGACCACGACCUCGAAAGAGGAUGGGGUAAAAGCUGGCCUCUGUACACAAGCUAGCACUCAAGGAUGGGCCCGCGGCGCAUCAGCUAGUUGGUGGGGUGAUGGCCCACCAAGGCUAAGACGCGUAGCUGGUCUGAGAGGAUGAUCAGCCACACUGGAACUGAGACACGGUCCAGACUCCUACGGGAGGCAGCAGUGGGGAAUCUUGCGCAAUGGGCGAAAGCCUGACGCAGCGACGCCGCGUGAGUGAUGAAGGCCUUCGGGUUGUAAAGCUCUGUGGGGAGAGACGAAUAAGUGCAGCCUAAUACGUUGCAUGAUGACGGUAUCUCCUUAGCAAGCACCGGCUAACUCUGUGCCAGCCGCCGCCGUAACAC
rnacentral:rRNA from 1 species